UAGAGAGAGAGAAGCCUGUGCACCACAGUGGAGAUCCCGCACGCCGCGACUAAGACCCAACGCAGCCAAAAAUAAAUAAAAUAAAUAAGUAUUAAAAAACUUGCCCAAGUGAAACACUAACCCAGGAAAUCUUAUUUUAUGUACUUGUAAAGUAGGCAUAGCAACAGUCCCCUCAAAGAUGGCAUGUGGGCAGAAGACUGCAGACCUUGGGUAGUCAUUGUCUCUCCUGAAAUGUGUGUGUCAGAGGCCAAACAAAUCUGCCAUCAGGAAGAAGGAAGAGGAGAAAGAAUGCUGGAGACAUAAAAACAGGAAAGACUUGUCCUUUCAUUUCUCCCAGCAUGAGGACACUGGUGCUGGAAUGGCUGCAGCAACUGCUAAUUGUCUCAAUAUCUGUCACCUCUCCUUCCUCAAUAGAAGAACCCUGAAUUUUUGGCCAUCGAGAAUGGGAAUGACAUUUCCCACCCUCCCUUGCAGCCAGGUAUGGCCAUGUGACUACGUUCUGGCCAAUGGAAGGCAACUUCCAGGAAGUGUCCUUGAAGCAUGGAGAUGUAGACUCAUCUCUUCCCCCUCUUCUCUUCUACUGGCUGGAAUGAGAAUGUGAUGGCUGGCACAGGAGCAGCCAUCCUGGACAUUGUCGUUAGAGCUGACGCAUGGUACACCAACAGGAUAGAAGGGGUGGAGGUCUCUGACACCGGGGAGCCCUACUGGACCCAUCCCGGGACUCCCUUACUCUGGACUCAAACUGAAAGAGAAUUAAAUAUGUCUUGUUCAAGCCCAUGCCAUUUUGGAUUUUCUGUCACUCAUGGCCAAAUCUAAUCUUAACUGAUACAAAAUAUAGGACCAAGAUACGCAAGCUGUAAGUAGCAGAGCUGAAACUUGGGGCAGUGGCUUAUGGAUGCGGCCGGGGGCAGAGACUCAGAUAGUGGGGGCUAGAGGACAGGUGACCCACAUCGUGCAGAAACAAAGCAUUUGCUAACAACUCUCCUCUGUUGUUUUUUGAAAAGCAGCCCUUGCUCUGAACAAGGAUUGAGGAAGGAAAUGGUAGGAGAAAUUCAUAAUGCAGAAAUGCAUUAGCUGCUUCUCACUGCUUACAGCAAAGUCCCACAAAAGAGAUGGACGUGGGUGACGGCUGGCCAGGGCGGGUGUGGCAUGAAAGGUAAGGCAGCUAUGCUCGUGGAGACCAUCUCUGCCUGAAGCCCGCAAUCUAAAUUGACUGAGAACUGGGUAAUUUGGAGGCUUGCAGGGUUGAAAAAAGCAACCGCUGCAUCUCUCAGAUGACAUCAAUCAUUGGAAAGGUUCUGUGCAAAGCAGUGCACUUAGUGGAAAAUAAAACUAGUGCCCCGUCCUACCAAUUUGUAAGACUUGUGGCAAAAGUCACUUUAAGGAUGUUGCCUUCCUACCCAGGCCUGUUGCUUCAGGUGACUCAAGGUGGGCGGUGCCAUUGUGCUGAGGGACAGGAGACGUUGGCCAAGCGAGCGUGGAGGCCAACAAGGACAGGCCAGACGCUCCAGGGUUAUAAACUAUGUCUCAACAGAGAGAGCUGGCUGGAAACAAAUAGAUCAGAAAUCUUUACGUUUCUGAAAAAAUGCUUUGCCAAAGAAACCACAGCAUGGUCUGAAAAAGCCUGUGAUUGUUCAACCCCAAAGCAAUCCCUGAAAACAAGGAGCAAGCUGUGAAAACCACGCAGGUCCCAGGAAGGGCAUCCCCUCCGGUACCCACGCCAGUCAGCUGUGGCAGGGGAGACAACAGCAAGCACGCAGUAUCAUUUUGAGCUUGGGUCUGAUCUCUGGAAACUGCCGAAAGGCGUUCAGGGCCUCGCCGGGUAAGCAGGUGAGGGAUCAGCCUGAGUGCCAGCACUGUGGGCUGGGAAUGGGGCUGAAGGUGGAGGAUGGGGCCCACAACCCGUAAAACGGGCAUCGCUGUGCAGCUGGGCCAGGUGAGCUCAAUCAACUUUAUUCUUUAGUUCUUGCCUUGUGAUGUUCAGAACCCCCUAGGAUUCUGUGGCACAAUGAAUUCACAUACCUGGAGAGGUGGUGUUACCAGGAUGCUUGUGUCAACCGAGAUGGUGCUAUGUCUGGCAAUCAGGAAGAUCCACACAUAGAUCUGAACCCAUGAAGGAGGCCUUCACCAGGGAAAGCCCACUGCAGGCCAGCCUUCUGGGGGCAAGUGCUGUCUUACCUGCUUCUGUGGUACACGGCGCCUGGCACGAGCUGGACACUUCAUCAGAGUAAGCUGCAGUAGCAGGUGAGUGGACAAAGCCCCUUGCUGGUUCACGCUAAGGACGGAUGGUUACAGGAUACACAGCAACGAUGGAUGGAAUGUGCCAGACGGGGAGCUUGUUAACAUGCAGAUGCCUGGGUCCCACCUCCAGAGCCUCUUUCAGCGGGUCUGGGCUGGGGCCCUGGGAGCCUGAGUUUAAACAUGCUUGCCCAAACCCGAACCUUCUGCCCUUACCUUUCUUCUUUGCUUCUGAGAGCCGUGCCCACAGCCUUUGAGCCAUUGGCUCACUUUUCUGACUAGACUGUGGUGAAGAUACUGGUGACGGGGGUCCAUGGUCCUUGAACACCCACAAAUGAAUGGUGCGAGGUGUAACAGGGAGCAUGGAGGUCCAGAUGGCCAAGGGAGAUCAACUUAGGAUAAACUGUUGUGAAAACUGCACAUUUAUUCAUCCGUUCAGCAAAUAUUUAUCGAGAAUCUGCUAUGUGUAUCACACUGUACCUCUCCCCAUGUGUGAAAGUUUGGACAAACUGUUCAGUCAAACUAUUGGGCAAACCUUUGUGGACCUCUCCUCACAUGCGGUCUGUGAACCCUCUGACACCUGGCUACUCAAAGUGUGGUCCGUGGACCAGCAGUGCUGGCACUGCCCGGGGAGCUUGUUAGAAAUGCUGAAUAUUGGGCCCCACCCCAGAACUGCAGCCCCUGUGUCUGCAUUUCAAUAAGAGGCCAAGAUCCCCAGGUGACAUGUGUGCACAUCAAAGCUUGAGACCCACUGGUCAAACACCCACUAUUGGGCCAAACGUCUUAUAUCCAAGUAUGUGUCUGUGACGGAGCGCACAGCUUUCAUGCGAUUCUCAUGUUGACCUGUGACCCCCAGAAUUUAAUCAUGGCCUCGGGGACUAUCUAGUCCAGGGCUGUGUUGAUAAGAAGUUGUGCUUCCCUGAUCGAACCCUGUGAGCGAUCUGGGAUAAGAUUUAUGAUGGGGCUCGGCAUUAUGCAGUGAUGAAGGAGGUGAGCGAGUCUCCGGAAGGCUGAUGCCUUCACAUUGGGUGGUUGGCCUGAAGUUCCCGGGGUGAGCAGGGCAGCACACAGAGCAGGAGGGGCGGGGAGAAACUGGAGACCCCAGGAUGGACUAGAACCUGCCUCUGUCUCACACCACCUCUAAGUCCACAAGAUGCUUGGCUGGAUGGCCACCCUCACACAUUGCUGGUCAUGCACCUGGUCCAUGACUCACUGGAGCUGGAGGAGCCGCUGGUCCCAUUGCUGCCCCAGGACAAUCAGACGGCCCAGAGACUUCUCUCCUGGCCAACCCUGACCUGGAACAUAGAGCAAAGAGAAUGUGGGAGAUGUAAGUCCCGCCCAGAUGCACCAAGGCCGGGCAAGGUUCUCACACUCGGCAGUCGCCAGGGCCAGGCGGUGCUGUGACGGGUGAAGAGGGACCGGCAGGGCUGUGAGGACCUCCAUCCAGGUAUACAUUUCAGGUAAUGAAAGGUGUUGAGAAAGUAAAGCAGGUAAUAGGACCGAGCGCCUCGGGGCAGUGGAGGCAGGCCUUGGAGUCCCCAGCCUGUACCUUGCCUCAUGAAAGUUUACAGUCAGAGGGGACCAACUAGUAAAUAAUUGCAGAAAUCGAUGUAAAAGGACAAGUAUGAUGAACCCACAUUUUAACCAGAUUCCUAGGUGACCUAUUUGCUCAGUAGAGAUUGAGAAGUGCUGUCCCAGGGUCUCCUUUAUGACCACUGUAUAUUCCUUCUUUUAAACAAACACUGCACGUUUUGUGGAGGCGGGUGAGGGAUUAUAUGGAGAGAGAAGACCUAGACAGUCAUCUUUGCAUGUCUUUUGGAGUCUGGGAGAAUUUCUGCCUGUUUAAGAAUUAGAGAGUCCAAGCCCAUCAAUGAGUUAAGGGUAUAUAGUUUACUUUGUAUAUAAAAGUUUUGAGUCACUGGAGAAAACCUUCACAAAUUACUUCUUCCCCCCUGAAGGAGGCAAUGUGUAGCCAAGCAGGCCUGAGACCCAAGCACAGGUUCCAGCAGACGUCAAACCAGAACAAGGCUGCAGACUUCCUAAGAAGCCCGUUAAGCUUAGGCUGGUAGCACGAGAUACCACCAUGUGGUUUGGGGCAUUCUUAUUUUGAAUUUCCUUUGUGGUUUAGAACUUUAAUUUCAGCUUCCUGGUAGACCAUGGUAUUAGGGUGAUGAAAUCAUAAAGAACACCUAGACUCACAGUAAGAAACCAUCACCAAGGGCUGCAAUUCCUCAUUCAUCAUUAUGCAAUCCAUGGAGUCUGUUUGUAGCUUCUCUCCAUAGAUUUCAACUAUGACUCAUCAAAGACUAAAUCAGCCCAUUUUAUAAACAUUCUGUCUCUCUAUAGCCAAAUGCUUUCAGAUAUCCUGAAUCAUAUCAGCAUACUGGUCAUUAGAAGGGAGACCUGUAGCAGUUCACAGAUUACAGAUAUGAUUACAAAGCCAAAGUCCAGAACUGGAAAAGAAGAUUACAAAAUUAACCUCUGUGUCCCAGGCUCACUUCUAAAGCAUGGCACAUUUUAUAAGAUGUCAGUCUCCCAGAACCUGGCACACAGCCAGCUUACAGAAUGCUUACCGAAUACAAUAUUCCUGCAAGACUUUUACAAUAAAUCCAAGCUUAGAAUGUAUCAAAUUUUAAGUACCGUAAAAGAUGGUGUUUUCUCUCGAUCAACAGGGCGGUGAACAUGUAUUUUUCCAUUCACAUUAUCUUUUAUAGAAAACAAACCAAUCUCUGGAUAUUUAUCUACACCAGGUCCAAUGAUUAAAUAUACUAAUUCCAUGUCGGCAGACAAAUUAUUGAACAGCUGGAAGGAGAAAAAAUUAGGGAAAAAUGAGGGUGAGAAUAAGCCACUAUGCCUAUCAAAUAUCUAGGCUAAGAUUCAAAGGCAUUUGUAAAGAACCAUACCCAGCAAUUACAGAUCUGAGAAUUUACCCUAAAGAAAUAAACAGGUAGAGAUGAAAGAACAAGGGGUAUAGCAGCAGUUUGGUUUGUAAUAGUGAAAAGUUGGAAACAACAUAAAUGUCCAUCCCUAUGGAAAUAAUCGUGUAGUGGUUCUCCCCUCACGCGGCAUGGGGCUCUGCAGCUUUUCAGGAUUUAUAUUCCCUGCCCCAGAAUGAGGGCUGUGACACAUGGUAAAACAAGAAAGGCCACCAGCGGGACAGUAUACUCAGUGUGAUCCCAUUUUGUUAAUACAGAUUCAUAGUAGUGACUGUGCAAAGAAACAUCUGAAAGGAUACAUACCAAGUUGUCCAUACUGAUUAUCCCUCCAAAGAAGAGUAAUAAUCAUACAGCUAACUUUACAAAUUGCUUAGAAGGAGCCAGCUUAUAUAUUGCCUUACUUGCACUAACCUGCUUAAUCUUUUUUUUUUUUUUUUUUUUUUUUUGCGGUACACGGGCCUCUCACUGCUGUGGCCCCUUCCGUUGCG